rnacentral:rRNA from 1 species
ACCGGAUUAUAUACCCUGGUACCCCUUACCGUAUACGAUGAGUGCUAACUGUUACAGGGUUUCCGCCCUUUAGUGCUGCAGCUAACGCAUUAAGCACUCCGCCUGGGGAGUACGGUCGCAAGACUGAAACUCAAAGGAAUUGACGGGGGCCCGCACAAACGGUGGAGCAUGUGGUUUAAUUCGAAGCAACGCGAAGAACCUUACCAGGUCUUGACAUCCUCUGACAACUCUAGAGAUAGAGCGUUCCCCUUCGGGGGACAGAGUGACAGGUGGUGCAUGGUUGUCAUCAGCUCGUGUCGUGAGAUGUUGGGUUAAAUCCCGCAACGAGCGCAACCCUUGAUCUUACUUGCCAGCAUUUACUUGGGCACUCUAAGGUGACUGCCGGUGACAAACCGGAGGAAGGUGGGGAUGACGUCAAAUCAUCAUGCCCCUUAUGACCUGGGCUACACACGUGCUACAAUGGAUGGUACACAGGGCUGCAAGACCGCGAGGUCAAGCCAAUCCCAUAAAACCAUUCUCAGUUCGGAUUGUACGCUGCGACUCGCCUACAUGAGCGCUGGAACCUCUAUUAAUCCGCAGAUCAGCAUGCCGCAGUGAAUA